rnacentral:rRNA from 1 species
AUCCUGGCUCAGAAUCAACGCUGGCGGCGUGCCUAACACAUGCAAGUCGAACGAGAAAGUCCCGCAAGGGAUGAGUAAAGUGGCGUACGGGUGAGUAACACGUAGCUAACCUACCCUCGAGUGGGGGAUAACCUGGGGAAACUCGGGCUAAUACCGCAUAACAUCCGGAUGGCAUAUGUCGUCCGGAGCAAAGGUCCGCAAGGAUCGCUGGAGGAGGGGGCUGCGGCCGAUUAGCUAGUUGGUGAGGUAACGGCCCACCAAGGCGAUGAUCGGUAGCCGGCCUGAGAGGGCGCACGGCCACACUGGCACUGAAACACGGGCCAGACUCCUACGGGAGGCA